UACCUCUCAAACAACAACAUCACCAGCUUCAGUGAAGACGCCUUGGAUGACCUGCACUCCCUCCAACAUCUGUGGCUGCGAAACAACAAACUGCAGACGUUGCCGCGCAAAAUCAUCGCUAAGAUCGGCGCCUUGACGUUUGGGACAACAUCUGCGUCUGGCGCGACACCCACACACAACCCUUUCAGUCACAACCCUUGGCUGUGCGACUGUCGG